rnacentral:rRNA from 1 species
GAUGAACGCUGGCGGCGUGCCUAAUACAUGCAAGUCGAGCGAACAGACGAGGAGCUUGCUCCUCUGACGUUAGCGGCGGACGGGUGAGUAACACGUGGAUAACCUACCUAUCAGACUGGGAUAACUUCGGGAAACCGGAGCUAAUACCGGAUAAUAUAUUGAACCGCAUGGUUCAAUAGUGAAAGACGGUUUUGCUGUCACUUAUAGAUGGAUCCGCGCCGCAUUAGCUAGUUGGUAAGGUAACGGCUUACCAAGGCAACGAUGCGUAGCCGACCUGAGAGGGUGAUCGGCCACACUGGAACUGAGACACGGUCCAGACUCCUACGGGAGGCAGCAGUAGGGAAUCUUCCGCAAUGGGCGAAAGCUUGACGGAGCAACGCCGCGUGAGUGAUGAAGGUCUUCGGAUCGUAAAACUCUGUUAUUAGGGAAGAACAAAUGUGUAAGUAACUAUGCACGUCUUGACGGUACCUAAUCAGAAAGCCACGGCUAACUACGUG